rnacentral:rRNA from 1 species
AUUGAACGCUGGCGGCAUGCCUUACACAUGCAAGUCGAACGGUAGAGGGGCAACCCUCGAGAGUGGCGAACGGGUGAGUAAUGCAUCGGAACGUACCCAGUUGUGGGGGAUAGCUCGGCGAAAGCCGGAUUAAUACCGCAUACGCACUGAGGUGGAAAGCGGGGGACUCGCAAGGGCCUCGCGCAGUUGGAGCGGCCGAUGUCAGAUUAGCUAGUUGGUGGGGUAAAGGCCUACCAAGGCGACGAUCUGUAGCUGGUCUGAGAGGAUGACCAGCCACACUGGGACUGAGACACGGCCCAGACUCCUACGGGAGGCAGCAGUGGGGAAUUUUGGACAAUGGGCGCAAGCCUGAUCCAGCCAUGCCGCGUGCAGGAAGAAGGCCUU